rnacentral:rRNA from 1 species
ACGGCUCAUUAUAACAGCUAUUAUAUACUUGAUUUUGAUGUCCUACGUGGAUAACUGUGGUAAUUCUAGAGCUAAUACAUGCACCAAAGCUCCGAUUUUCUGACGAGCGCAUCUAUUAGAUUAAAACCAAUCGGGUUUCGGCCCGUAAAUUGGUGACUCUGAAUAACUGUAGCUGAUCGCAUGGUCCAGAACCGGCGACGUGUCUAUCAAGU